UGAGAAAAUGUCUUGACUCUGGAAUGUGAAGUCUGUGAAGAAUGUUGCCUUUGUGGAAGAACGUACAUUAGAUGCCUCCGAGCUGCUCAAGUGGUGAAAUAAAUAUGUGGAACAAUGUUUGACAUGUAUCCUUUAUGGAAGCACAAGAAAGGAGCAAGAACUGAGCCACUAGUAAAGCUGGAGGGACUUUCUUUGUUCAAGAUUGUUAUGGAUUGUUUCUGUCUGACAGAAUAUUGGUUCCAAUUAAUGAUUUCUGAUUCACAAAAGAGGGGGUAUGGCUUUACUACUAUCUUUAUAUGUCUGAAGUGGACAGCAUCAGCAGUAAGCAGGGAUGAGGCUUAUAGAGUCUAUGGCUUCUUCAGGAGGAACAGAACUUCUCUUGCAAGAAAGAACACGUGUUUCACACUGGCACGUGGGAGAACCAGAUCAGCAUUCUGA
rnacentral:lncRNA from 13 species